rnacentral:rRNA from 1 species
AGUGGGGAAUCUUAGACAAUGGGGGAAACCCUGAUCUAGCCAUGCCGCGUGAGCGAUGAAGGCCUUAGGGUUGUAAAGCUCUUUCGGCUGGGAAGAUAAUGACGGUACCAGCAGAAGAAGCCCCGGCUAACUCCGUGCCAGCAGCCGCGGUAAUACGGAGGGGGCUAGCGUUGUUCGGAAUUACUGGGCGUAAAGCGCGCGUAGGCGGGCUGUUAAGUCGGGGGUGAAAUCCCGGGGCUCAACCCCGGAACUGCCUUCGAUACUGGCAGCCUAGAGGUCGAGAGAGGUGAGUGGAAUUCCGAGUGUAGAGGUGAAAUUCGUAGAUAUUCGGAGGAACACCAGUGGCGAAGGCGGCUCACUGGCUCGAUACUGACGCUGAGGUGCGAAAGUGUGGGGAGCAAACAGGAUUAGAUACCCUGGUAGUCCACACCGUAAACGAUGAAUGCCAGACGUCGGGCAGCAUGCUGUUCGGUGUCACACCUAACGGAUUAAGCAUUCCGCCUGGGGAGUACGGCCGCAAGGUUA